rnacentral:misc_RNA from 1 species
UCUAUUCUCAACUUUGCUUGGCCUUUAUGGUCUUGCAGUUGGAUGUUGAAGGCAUGCUGGCCCUGUCAGCUCCUUUUAAAUAUAUGAGCGGGACGAUUACGUGUAAAUCAGCUCCAAUGUGAUAAACUUGCGUUGUCUGUGUUGUUGCUGUCAAGUAGUAAUCACCUGCUACUAAUUGUCCUUUGUGGACUGCCUUUGGCAAUUAUCUCUGUG